rnacentral:lncRNA from 1 species
UUAAGGGCACAUUGCAUACAAAAAUACUCGUCGCCUUAAAGCUUUCAUUUAGGAAAAGAAGUCCGAUACGGGUGAAACUUCAUCAAACCUACAGAAGAUAUUACACCCUCUCCAACCAUGCAACAUGGGACUAGACAUAGAAGUACAGGAACUACUCACAUUAGUUUGAGCUGUACAAGAUCUACAAAAAUAUCCCGCCUGCCUCAAAGGUGCAUAUAGGAUCGACCAUGGUCCAGCACUAAUGAUACAAAUACCAACCAGAGUUACAAUGACGUGGUAGUAAGUCUUUAAAGGCCACCGAGCGGCCUCCAAAAAUGAAAAAAAAAACUACUAUUUAGUCGGCUAUUAAAUGCCCCGACCAUUAAGAUUUAAAAACAAAAAUCAAACAAAACUAAACAGCCUUAUUGAUAACAAAAUAAUUUACGAAAACAACUUGACCGACAUGAAUUAUGAACAACAACCACUGUACUACAUGUUUCUGGCUUUAGAAUGGACAUUGGCACAUAAACAAUGUGGUGGCCAUAAACCCAACCCUCCCAAAUGAACCAAACCUUAAGGACAACACAUCGCAAGAAAAAAACUGUAAAAUAUCAGUUGCAAUUCGCGUCCCUAAAAUUAUGGGUACGGUGCACAAUAAUCACUUACAUAAAAACAAUAGACACAAAUCACUGAAAUAAUCGCACUUACC